CCGGCAAACGGGUGCGGAACACGUACGCAACCUUCCCAAAACUGGGGAAUAGCCCUCCGAAAGGAGGAUUAAUACCCCGUAAGAUGAUGAAGUGGCAUCACUUUAUUAUUAUAGCUACGGCGGUUUUGGAUGGGCGUGCGCCUGAUUAGGUAGUUGGCGGGGUAACGGCCCACCAAGCCUGCGAUCAGUAACUGGUGUGAGAGCACGACCAGUCACACGGGCACUGAGACACGGGCCCG
rnacentral:rRNA from 1 species